GGUCAAGACUUAAAUCGAUUUUCAAGUUUAAAUCACAUUAUAUUGAAAUAAAUUAUCCAUAAGUUGUUUCUCGUUUUCUACAACAUUUUUGGCGAGCUAUUACAUUGUUGGUUUCUGCGUUCUUAUUAAGCUAGUGUGGCUCACCUAAUUUACUAUUAAUCUUUUCAUAUUAAGACAAUCAAGAUUCUAUUCCCGAACAAUAGGAGACUUGCUGGAAGAUCAUUUCGUUUCAUUUU
rnacentral:lncRNA from 1 species